rnacentral:rRNA from 1 species
UAGUCCACGCCGUAAACGAUGAGAACGAGAUGUCGGGAGGGUUUAGCCUCUCGGUGUCGCAGCUAACGCGUUAAGUUCUCCGCCUGGGGAGUACGGUGGCAACACUAAAACUCAAAGGAAUUGACGGGGACCCGCACAAGCGGUGGAGCAUGUGGUUUAAUUCGAUGCAACGCGAAGAACCUUACCUGCCCUUGACAUUGACAGAACCCUUUAGAGAUAGAGGGGUGCUUCGGCCUGGAAAACAGGUGCUGCAUGGCUGUCGUCAGCUCGUGUCGUGAGAUGUUGGGUUAAGUCCCGCAACGAGCGCAACCCUUAUCCUUAGUUGCCAGCACGUAAUGGUGGGAACUCUAAGGAGACCGCCGGUGACAAACCGGAGGAAGGUGGGGAUGACGUCAAGUCCUCAUGGCCCUUACGGGUAGGGCUACACACGUACUACAAUGGCAGAUACAAACCGUUUGCAAAGCCGCGAGGUUGAGCUAAUCGGUAAAACACUGUCCCAGUCCGGAUUGGAGUCUGCAACUCGACUCCA